rnacentral:rRNA from 1 species
UACGGAGAGUGCAAACGUUGUUCGGAUUCACUGGGCGUAAAGGGCACGUAGGCGGCUCGGCAAAUCGGUCGUGGAAUCCCGACGCUUACCGUCGGAACGGCGGCCGAAAAUACCGGGCUAGAGGGCGUGAGGGGUCACUGGAACUCCUGGUGAAGCGGUGAAAUGCGUAGAUAUCAGGAGGAACGCCGGAGGCGAAAGCGAGUGACUGGCGCGUUCCUGACGCUGAGGUGCGAAAGCUAGGGGAGCAAACAGG